rnacentral:sRNA from 2 species
UGUAGGAUUGGCCUUUUACUUCCAGUGAGGUCUGAUAUUACUAGUAUUUAUGCGACAUAUCUAGGCCCGGUCCCUGUCUCUAGCCUACAUCUGCUGCCGAACGGCGGAAUCGAUUCAGCCGGAAGGGUUCAUGGUCUCCGUUCAAACAAUAUCAUCGCCCUAAUCUAGCCUUUUAAGAGAUUUGUUCAACGUCUUUAUUUCAAUUUGGUGAAGGUUCAGGCGUUUAAUUCUUCCAGAAACUCGAGAGACCAGGGACCUGAAAAUAUUUGUCGUUCCUGAGAUCCAUAUGGCAACAGACAAGAAGCAUUUGAGGUCUCAGUUACCCGUUAAGGAGAAGUGUCCAUACCGCAUAAUCACUCCCCAAACUAGUCCUUCAAUACAGCUUGAAUGGCAGCUUACGGAAACAGU